rnacentral:rRNA from 1 species
UACAGAGGUCUCAAGCGUUGUUCGGAUUCAUUGGGCGUAAAGGGUGCGUAGGCGGCGCGGUAAGUCGGGUGUGAAAUUUCGAGGCUUAACUUCGAAACUGCAUUCGAUACUGCCGUGCUUGAGGACUGGAGAGGAGACUGGAAUUUACGGUGUAGCGGUGAAAUGCGUAGAGAUCUGGAAGAACACCAAAGGCGAAGGCAGCGUCCUGGUUUGUUACUGACGCUCAAGUGCGAAAGCUAGGGGAGCGAACGGG